GUCACCCUCCUCUUCCACAUCCUGCUCAGGUGGAUCUCCUUCCGUGGAAGAACGGAAACGCUCAGCCGCUUCCAUCAUCUCAAGAGAGAUGAUGAUGAUGAUGAUACUGCAUAAGAAUCAUUGACUGAUGUCAGCGUGGCUCAGUGGACUAAGGGAGAUUAGUGAGACCAGUAUGAGCCCGGUGAUUUAACAACUACACAUCAUAAUGAUGAGGCCAAAGAUGGAUUUCUGUAUUCUUCAGCAUCUGGUUGAUUUUUUUUUUUUUUUGACUAAUUUAUUUCAUUUAAACAUUUUAUUUAUAAUUCCACAGCGCUGUGUUUUUCUGCACUGUUCCCACAUGUUCCAGAGGAGGACUGUUGUUUCACUGACUGCCUUUUCGCCCUUUAAUGCUCCCCUGUCGUGUUUCUUUUGCAGCGCCAAACGCUCUUGGGUUCCAUUUUCAGUUGUUUCUCCUUCGGCGUGUCGUAAAAUAAUUUCUUUCCCGGCAGAACAACUUCUAGGUUUAUGCGGAAAACGUUCACCGUCCUAAGCUCCCUCGGCCUUCCUCGAUUAUGCAGUUUGGUGCGGUUGGAUGUCACCUGUGCCGUAAAAACCUAACUUUUUGUAAACCGCUUUUUCCACCAAAGCAGUUGGACCUCUUGGAAAACCUCCCGUUUGUUGUUCUGUGUGUUUCACCUGUUUGAUAUGUGUUUUCCAGUUAACCCUCCCCGCUCACUGCAUGCUACACGAGAGACCCCAUCCUGUUCAGGCUUCCUGUAGAAACUCCUCACCACCUAUGAAUGAGCUCUCACACACAGCUGCCCCGAGUCUUGCAACACACUCAUCUGCCCCUGUCCAAGCACAGUCCAGGUCAUGCUUGGGGAAAGAAGCCAGACUUGAGUGUCAAUGAAGUGAAAUGCUUGACUCAUGCUUUCUUUGUUCUUUUUAUAAACAUGACACUGUGUUUUUUUUUUAAAACAAUUUUAUAGAAUUUUUCUCAGUCGCUUUUAAUAAACCCCCUUUGCUUUGU